UACAGAGGGUGCGAGCGUUAAUCGGAAUUACUGGGCGUAAAGCGCGCGUAGGCGGCUUUGCAAGUCGGGUGUGAAAUCCCCAGGCUUAACCUGGGAACUGCAUUCGAGACUGCAUUGCUAGAGUAUGGGAGAGGGAAGUGGAAUUUCCGGUGUAGCGGUGAAAUGCGUAGAUAUCGGAAGGAACACCGAUGGCGAAGGCAAUCCCCUGGACCUGUACUGACGCUCAUGCACGAAAGCGUGGGGAGCAAACAGG
rnacentral:rRNA from 1 species